CACACGGCGGCGCGGGUAUGCGGGCCUCCCGCACAGCCGCCUGCACCGGUAGUUGUGCAGAUCCGGAUUCCGAGCCUCUUUUCAUCUCCUCUCCUGCAAUUCAACCCACGUAAUUUCCAUGAAGGAAGUGGAGUGGUAUCAUUUUACAACAAGAAAACAGUUAAGAGUAAGUCAAAUUAGUUGCCAGAUAUUGGGACUAAAAUUGAAGUUUCUUAAUACUCCAGUCAAAGAUUUUCAUAUUAAAUCAUUAUCUUGUCAUUAUUUUAUUCUUCAAUUAUUCCUUUCCUUUGUUUUCAGAAAAAUUUAAAAUAUUAGUGCUACAGUUCAAAUGUCUCCCCAAAAGUUCAUGGUAACCCAACACUACUAUGUUAAGGGUAUUCUGAAGCGGGGCCUUUAGGAGGUGACUGGGAUUAGAUGGGGAAGCCCCACGAGUGCAUAGCUGGCUCUGUAAGAAGAGGACGAGACUCCAGCUGGCACCCCUGCUCUGCCGGGUAAGUGGUGAUACAGCAGGAAGGCCCUCCCUGAAACCAAGCACGUGGCAGUGGCAUGCUCUUGGACUUCCCAGGCUGCAGAGCUAUAAGCUAAAUAAACUUCUUUUCUUUAUAAAUUAAUCAGCCAUAGCAGCAUAAAACAAAGAGAGCUGAUAAUAUGCCUUCCAGUCCCUUGACUCAGAAAUGCCAAGAACACAUGUUCGUAUGCCCCUUAUUCUUCAUCUCAAAUAUUUCUGAUUUUUUGCAACCAUAUUUUUCUGUCCCUACCAUCAGGAUGAGAAAGAAAAUGCACCUGCCUUCUGUCUUUGUGGCUAUUUAACCCUGUGAUUUUCACUCCAUUAUCACCGUUAAGUCUUCGGGUCCUCUAUCUAAUUUCCACCUAGAAAUGUUCAUUAUACUCAAUGGUUAACUCUUCCAAAUCAGCUGAAGAAAGAAUUACCAGGCCUCAUGGGCUGUGGGCUGUACAUGCUACUAGGUCCAAUCCUGAUUAAAACCUCCUCGUCCUGAGCUUGGUCUGGGUCUACUGUCUCUGUUUCCCAGGAGCACACGGAAUGAGAAACCACACCUUCUGGCCAUCACCAGCUGACUCAAUCAGCACAACUCUUCUUGCUUGACUCACUCACAUAACCACAAGUACGCAAGUUGAUCCCUGGGAUGCUGAACAGUGUACUUAAAGCUCCCUUCAUGAUUUGUCCUAUUUAUUACUGUGUCACAACUUUAUUUUUUUUUCUUGGACAGGCAGAGUGGACAGUGAGAGAGAGAGAGAGAGAGAGAGAGAGGGGUCUUCCUUUUCCGUUGGUUCACCCUCCAAUGGCUGCUGCAGCCGACGCACCACGCUGAUCCGAAGCCAGGAGCCAGGUGCUUCUCCUGGUCUCCCAUGGGGUGCAGGGCCCAAGCACUUGGGCCAUCCUCCACUGCACUCCUGGGCCACAGCAGAGAGCUGGACUGGAAGAGGAGCAACAGAGACAGAAUCCGGUGCCCCGACCAGGACUAGAACCCGGUGUGCCAGCGCCGCAGGUGGAGGAUUAGCCUACUGAGGCGCAGCGCCGGCCACAACUUACUCUAAAACUUUAGGGGCUUAAAGCCACUGCCAUUUGAGUCUACCCCAUGAUUUUGUGUGUCAGGCAAUUCUGACCUGAUAACCUGGAGGCUUCACUGAUUCCUCUGAACUUUGGCAGGGAUGGACAGAAAGCUGACCUUUGCUAGGACCAUCAGUUGGCUUCUCCAGGGAACUUGUCUUAGGGUAGCUGGGUGUUGAGGGCAGGGCUUGCCGGGAGAGUGUUCUGAGAAGGUGGAAGCAUCCAGUCUCUUGAGAGCUGGGAUCAGAAAGGAGCACAACAUCUUUUUUGCCAUUUCCUAUUGGUCAAGCAGUUACCUCAGCAGCCUAUGUGGUACAGACUGUGUGGCCACCUGCAACCUAUCACAAACUUUAUUCAUCCAGCACUCGUAGAGCAUGCAGUAUGGAGCAGGCUCUGUGUAAGACUCGGAGUAUGGAGGAAAGUUAACACACUAAGAAGUUCACUGGCUGGAGCAGAAGCAAAAAUGUUUUAUUGUUCUUAUUCACAAUCUUCUAGAGAUUCUCUAAAACAACACAUUAAUGAAGCCCAGAAUAACUUUUAGGAAAGUAAUGUAAAUGAAAAAGAGAAAAAAAUAUUCACUGUCUAAUGAUCUCCAUUUGCUCGUAAUUCAAAUGUCUAUUUGAGUCACAACACCUGGCACACAACUGAACUGUGAUGUGGAGCUGAAGCUUCAAGUGUUACAGGGAAUAAGUGGCAGUGAUGACUUCUUUGGGGAGUGGCUCUUGUGCAUGCGAAGAAGAAAUUGUAGUCAUGCUUAGUGAUUGUGGGACAUAUUCCAAAUGGCUUCAGUUCACGUCCGCAAGGCAAGCGGCUAGGCCACUUAUCACCCAUGGCAACUCUGUCAGUCACAAAUCAGAGAAGCCUCACUCCUGUAACACAGUGUUAGGAUCAUAAAGGAAAGACAGAGCAUUCAUAUUCACCUUCCAGGGAGAAAAAGGAAAAAUGUUGUUUCUAGUUUGGCAGCCUUCCAGCCAGGGCGUUGCCUUACCCUCCAGCAGAGCUGCUAGGCAUGAAGCUGCUUAGCUUAACACACGGGUGUGUAAUGGUUGUUUAACAUUUGAGAUUUCUAGCAAGAGUCUCAGAGAAUAUGGUCAUACUGUGGUAGGCUACUGUGCUCAUGAAGCAAAAAUGUGGUAAAGAGAUUUUGGCUGUGGAGAAACUGGGUUUGCUUCUGCCUUGUAGGGAGGUUUUCCAAAGGUCAUGGUCAUUAAAAUCACUGACCCGCAGUCCUUUUCCUGAAUGCCUUGUUCUCCUGGGUCUCUGGGCUUUACCCAUGUUGCUCUGUCUGCCUGUGUCUUAGCCUUUCAUCAUGAUAACAAAUACCCAAGAGAAGCAAUUUAUGAAAGAGGAAAGUAAUUCUUUAUUUUAAUUUUUAAUUAGUUUUUAACAAAUUCAGUGUGAUUUGAGAAGUUAUUUUUUUUUCAUGGAGUCAAAACAGGAGGUUCACAGUCCAAGACUGGGUGACCUCUUUGGUCUGAUGUCUGCUGCAGACAGCAGGAAGAGGAGCAAGUGCAGAGGAAGGAUCAUACGGUGAGCCAGGAAGCAGAGCAACUGGGCUGGCUCCGGUUUGUAUAACCAACCCUUUCAGGAGACAACCCCUGAUGACCUAAGGGUCUCCCGGUAGGCCCACCCCCUAAAAAGCAUAAUUGGAUCAAGCCCCCACCCUCUCCUAAGAGCAGCACCCUUGGGCCACACCUUUAACAUACUGGGCCCUUGUAGGACACCAAAGCUAAUGUCCAAACGGUAGCACUCUCCUGGAACACCUGGGCCACUCUGGAAAAGGGAAAGGAACACACAGAAGGACGUGGGGACUGGAGGAGUGGCCUUAGGACAUCCAUAGUUGGAAAGUACAUGUUGUUCCCAGCAGUGAUGCCAACAACAAACACUGUUGUUUAGAGAAGAGAGAGAAUGAUGAUGACUCAGAUGGUAAGAAAAGCCUCAUGUAAGGUAUGUGAGCUUUGGGUAAACAGAGAUGUCAAAGACAUGGCUGUGAUUCCAGCCAGUGUUUUUGAGCACCUCCAUUAUGGUAGUCAUUGCCUGGAAAUGAGCCCACCAUGGGAGCAACACACAUUAAGGAGACCUUGAAGAGACUGACCAAGUACUAUGUUUGGAGAAUAUUAGGAGAUAAUAUUAGGAACACAGGAACAGGGAAAUUAGAAGUCUUGAGUCCUUUUCUGAAGCCUUUAAGGCCAGUAUUUCUUUUUCUAGAAAUAGAAAUUUCUUUGUUUGCUUCAAAGAACCCUCGAUAAAUUUCUUUCCAAAAGAAGAAUCUAUGUCACAGAAAAUAAACAACAGCCCAGCACCUGCAUGCUACAUACAUCUCUGUUGUCAUCAUUGUUCGACAUCAUUUAUAGCCAGAAUCAAAUGCCUAGUAGUUCUUGGCACCUGUCCCUGCAUUCUUUGACUUUUCAUUCUUAUAUAUUUCUUGGUUUAGGUUUGAUUUGAAGCAUGCAUUGCACAAAUGACCUUUAAAGUAUUAUUACAAUUGUGUGGGUGAGCAAUUAGGAAAUGAGGCCUAAACAAUUUCUAGUGUUGUAUUUUUUUUAAAGAUUUGUUAAUUACUUGAAAGGCAGGGUUAGAGAGAGAGAGAGAGAGAGAGAGAGAUCAUCCAUUUAUCGGUUCACCUCCCAAGUGACAACAAUAGCCAAGACAUGGCCACACCAAAGCCAGCAGCCUGGAACUCCAUCCAGGUCUCUAAUGUGGGUGGCUAGGAUCUAAGCACUUGGGCUAUCUUCUACUACUUUCUCAGGUGCACUAGCAGGGAGCUGGAUUGGAAGCAGAUCAGUCCAGGACUUGAACUGGCAUCCAUAUAUGAUGCUGGUGUCACAGGCAGCAUCUUAAUGCACUGUGCCACAAUGCCGGCCCCUCGUGUUGUAUUUUCCUAAAUCACAUUAUUAAAUUAUUCAGCGUACUCUAAGGAGAUGAGGCUAGGAGAAGGAAGAAUUUGUAACAUGUGUGGAUCAGUCUCCAGAAGAUGGAAGAUAAUGACAAUCUCUUGUCUUCUUUCCAUUCCUCAGUAUCCCUGUUCUGUCAUGUAAGGCCCACCUCAAAUUCAGCUUCCUCUGUGCUAUUUACUCUAACCUUUCCAACCUUAGCUGAUAAUUUCCCUCCCUGAUCUCCUCUUCUAUGUAUAUCAUUAUUUCGUUCUCUCAACUGUUGUUAGAAACUAGUAAGCAUUUGAGGACAAGAAGUAAGUUCUAUACAUCUUUUCUAUUACUUAGGGUACUGCUAAUACAUAACAACCAAUACUUAUUGAGUAUGUAACUGUGCCCAAGGCUUUGUGUGCUCUUCUUUAUCUAGUUCUCAUGAUCAUCCUUUGAGAAAUUGUGCUAUUAUCACCCACACAUUACAACAAGGAAACUGACAAUCAAGGUUCUCUGCAAGUGAUUGGGGAAUACCAGAUUUGAAUCCAGAUUUCCACUAGAACUGAAGUCCAUUCAUGAAGAGAAGCCAUCCGUUCACCUGCUUUCUCCAAGUCUCCAUCUCUGGAUCACACAGCCAGCUGUAACUUGCCGCAGUCUGAAUGGCUCCCUGAUCUUGACACCCAAGAAUGACUGUAAUUGGAGCCAACAUUGUGGCAUAGCGAGUAAAGCUGCUGCUUGUGAUGCCAGCAUCACAUAUGGGUGCUGGUUCAAGUCCCUGCUGCUCCACUUCUGAUCCAGCUCCCUGCCAAUGCUCUGGGAAAAGCAGCAGAGGGCAGCCUAAGUGCUAGGGCCCCUGCACCCACAUGGGACACCCAGAAGCAGCUCCUGGCUCCUGGCUUUGGCUUGUGACUGGGGAGUAAACCAGUGGAUGGAAGAUUUCUCUCUCUGUGUCUCUCCCUCAUUCUCUGAAACUCUUUCAAAUAAAUAAAUCUAAAAACAUUCCCUUCUAUA